UACACUCCUACGGGAGGCAGUAGUGGGGAAUUUUGGACAAUGGGCGAAAGCCUGAUCCAGCAAUGCCGCGUGAGUGAAGAAGGCCUUCGGGUUGUAAAGCUCUUUUGUCAGGGAAGAAACGGUGAAAGCUAAUAUCUUUUGCUAAUGACGGUACCUGAAGAAUAAGCACCGGCUAACUACGUGCCAGCAGCCGCGGUAAUACGUAGGGUGCAAGCGUUAAUCGGAAUUACUGGGCGUAAAGCGUGCGCAGGCGGUUUUGUAAGUCUGAUGUGAAAUCCCCGGGCUCAACCUGGGAAUUGCAUUGGAGACUGCAAGGCUAGAAUCUGGCAGAGGGGGGUAGAAUUCCACGUGUAGCAGUGAAAUGCGUAGAUAUGUGGAGGAACACCGAUGGCGAAGGCAGCCCCCUGGGUCAAGAUUGACGCUCAUGCACGAAAGCGUGGGGAGCAAACAGGAUUAGAUACCCUGGUAGUCCCAUGA
rnacentral:rRNA from 1 species